AAUCCUCAUUUCAGAUGCCCAUUCCUCUCUUCUCGACACCGUUCGAUAACAAGGGAUACUAGUGGAGUUCCUAAGGUUCUUACAAGAGAGUUUGAACAAGUUCCCUCGAAGGACUAGUACGCCAUCUGGGGUUCAUAGUCAAGCACAACAAUCUGAAGAACAGCUACAACAACAGCAACAAUAGCAUUAGCAGCAGCAACAACAUCAUCCAAACUAUAGUUUGAAGUAAAAAAUGUUCAAGAUUAUAAAACUUUAUUAUGUUAUGCUUUCAAACUUAAGUUAGAACUAAUAUCUUAUGAAGUAGACACAUUCAUGGUUUGAAUUAGUUAUUUUUUAAUGUAAUACUUAUGGUUUAUCAAUUUAUUGAGAAUUACAUUUUAUGAUUAA